AACUUGUGCAUGUUAAUCAAGGAGUAAAGCAUUUUAUAGACUUAGUUACGCAGAAAAUUCGAGGUAAUUAGGUUGCUGACUGAAUGAUAAUAUCAGAAAGUUCAUUGAUCCUUAUUCGCGAAAUUUUUUCAUUUCAUUCCAUUCAAGUCUUCGGCUACGAAAAUUGUCCAAUCCGUAGACGUGUUACGUUAUUAUUUCAGGGACCAUACCGGAAUGGCCGGCGGUAUCGGUAUACGUGUGCAUGUACAGAAAAUAUUCCAAUGAAAGCGGCCACUCAAUAAGCCAAGUCCGCAUCCUGCGCCGCUAAUGUAAGAUGGCCCCGCUCCUUGAGUGUAACCCGCCUCCUGAACCAAAUAUCACCUGCAUAUGCUGUGUGUAUAUACUAGGUGGUUGGAAGGCACACGUAAUAAGAAAAUGGGGAAUCUUGAUCAUCUGGCGAAACCAGGAUAAAGUUGUGGUCAUUAUUUUAUAUCGAAUAUCCAACAACUAGAAGCUAAGGCGUCAUCAAGUGCAGCCAGCAUGUCAUAUAUUAAGUAACUUGACCAACGACCAUUGCAGGGUAUCUAACAAUCGUUCCUUACAAAAUUCCCCUGCCAUGGAUAUUCCAGGAGUUUACAGGCUGUUUUUUGAAAAUCUCCAGGGUACUUAUAAUGACACUUGUAAUGAGGUUUUCACAACGAAAUGUAUACAUAUAUAUAUUUAUUCGAUUUUUGUUUAAAUAUAUUAUUACAUUGUAAAAUUCACACCGCAGUAGCGACAUCACGUUCGAAAUUAAAUACAGGGCGUAAUAAAGGUAUUAAAAAAAAUUUUAAACUCUGCGCGGAUACAAAAAAUUUCACGCAAAAUUCGAAUAUUCCCAGGAUUCAACGAGUUUCCAUAGUGAACAAAAAAUUCCAGAGGAAUUCAGGAAGUUCAAGGAUUUUCCGGGCUAGUCAACACCCUGAAUUGUUAUAUUUUCACUGACGCGUUAGUACGCCCGAGUAAGCGACAGCGUGCAAGUGUUGCACAAACUUGAAUCGUGUGCUCUAAUGACUAGGCACCGUGACUCGGUAGUUCUAUAAAUCUAUACCUAUGUAACCUAAUGGAGAAAAAUUUGUACACGUGCAUCGGAAUUUGUUCGAUCGCCCUGUGUUCUUACUCGUUGCAAAUAUUUUCAACCCACUCGGUAGUGAACUCGUUGUUUGUUAAUUCCACCUGGAUUAGAAACGCGGAUAUUAAUAUUCUCAUUUGGGAAGCUAAGAUUUGGCUUUUGAGAAAUCUGAUGAUUUGACUACAGAAAUCUACGAGUUUUCUUUUCGCUCUUGGACGAUGGAAAUAAGGAAACGUUAUUUCUGUCGGCAAUGAUCCGAAGUUUGUCGGCUCGAAAAAAUGUGGAUAUUACGAAUUCGACGAUAGUAUGGGGCAUUACACAG